rnacentral:rRNA from 1 species
AUGAACGCUAGCUACAGGCUUAACACAUGCAAGUCGAGGGGCAGCAUGAACUUAGCUUGCUAAGUUUGAUGGCGACCGGCGCACGGGUGAGUAACACGUAUCCAACCUGCCGAUGACUCGGGGAUAGCCUUUCGAAAGAAAGAUUAAUACCCGAUGGCAUAGUUCUUCCGCAUGGUGGAACUAUUAAAGGAUUUCGGUCAUCGAUGGGGAUGCGUUCCAUUAGGUUGUUGGCGGGGUAACGGCCCACCAAGCCUUCGAUGGAUAGGGGUUCUGAGAGGAAGGUCCCCCACAUUGGAACUGAGACACGGUCCAAACUCCUACGGGAGGCAGCAGUGAGGAAUAUUGGUCAAUGGACGAGAGUCUGAACCAGCCAAGUAGCGUGAAGGAUGACUGCCCUAUGGGUUGUAAACUUCUUUUAUACGGGAAUAAAGUGAGGCACGUGUGCCUUUUUGUAUGUACCGUAUGAAUAAGGAUCGGCUAACUCCGUGCCAGCAGCCGCGGUAAUACGGAGGAUCCGAGCGUUAUCCGGAUUUAUUGGGUUUAAAGGGAGCGUAGGCGGACGCUUAAGUCAGUUGUGAAAGUUUGCGGCUCAACCGUAAAAUUGCAGUUGAUACUGGGUGUCUUGAGUACAGUAGAGGCAGGCGGAAUUCGUGGUGUAGCGGUGAAAUGCUUAGAUAUCACGAAGAACUCCGAUUGCGAAGGCAGCCUGCUGGACUGUAACUGACGCUGAUGCUCGAAAGUGUGGGUAUCAAACAGGAUUAGAUACCCUGGUAGUCCACACAGUAAACGAUGAAUACUCGCUGUUUGCGAUAUACAGUAAGCGGCCAAGCGAAAGCGUUAAGUAUUCCACCUGGGGAGUACGCCGGCAACGGUGAAACUCAAAGGAAUUGACGGGGGCCCGCACAAGCAGCGGAGCAUGUGGUUUAAUUCGAAGCAACGCGAAGAACCUUACCAAGGCUUGACAUAUACAGGAAUAACUAAGAAAUUAGUUAGCUCUUCGGAGUCUGUAUACAGGUGGUGCAUGGUUGUCGUCAGCUCGUGUCGUGAGAUGUUGGGUUAAGUCCCGCAACGAGCGCAACCCUUAUGGUCAGUUACUACGCAAGAGGACUCUGGCCAGACUGCCGUUGACAAAACGGAGGAAGGUGGGGAUGACGUCAAAUCAGCACGGCCCUUACGUCCGGGGCUACACACGUGUUACAAUGGGGGGUACAGAAGGCAGCUACACGGCGACGUGAUGCUAAUCCCGAAAGCCUCUCUCAGUUCGGAUUGGAGUCUGCAACCCGACUCCAUGAAGCUGGAUUCGCUAGUAAUCGCGCAUCAGCCACGGCGCGGUGAAUACGUUCCCGGGCCUUGUACACACCGCCCGUCAAGCCAUGAAAGCCGGGGGUACCUGAAGUGCGUAACCGCAAGGAGCGCCCUAGGGUAAAACUGGUGAUUGGGGCU